rnacentral:rRNA from 1 species
GGGUUGUGAGGUUAAGCGACUAAGCGUACACGGUGGAUGCCCUGGCAGUCAGAGGCGAUGAAGGACGUGCUAAUCUGCGAAAAGCGUCGGUAAGGUGAUAUGAACCGUUAUAACCGGCGAUGUCCGAAUGGGGAAACCCAGUGCAAUUCGUUGCACUAUCGUUAACUGAAUACAUAGGUUAACGAGGCGAACCGGGGGAACUGAAACAUCUAAGUACCCCGAGGAAAAGAAAUCAACCGAGAUUCCCCCAGUAGCGGCGAGCGAACGGGGAGCAGCCCAGAGUCUGAAUCAGCUUGUGUGUUAGUGGAACGGUCUGGAAAGUCCGACGGUACAGGGUGAUAGUCCCGUACACCAAAAUGCACAGGUUGUGAACUCGAAGAGUAGGGCGGGACACGUGGUAUCCUGUCUGAAUAUGGGGGGACCAUCCUCCAAGGCUAAAUACUCCUGACUGACCGAUAGUGAACCAGUACCGUGAGGGAAAGGCGAAAAGAACCCCGGCGAGGGGAGUGAAAAAGAACCUGAAACCGUGUACGUACAAGCAGUGGGAGCACCUUCGGGUGUGACUGCGUACCUUUUGUAUAAUGGGUCAGCGACUUAUAUUCUGUAGCAAGGUUAACCGUAUAGGGGAGCCGCAGGGAAACCGAGUCUUAACUGGGCGUUAAGUUGCAGGGUAUAGACCCGAAACCCGGUGAUCUAGCCAUGGGCAGGUUGAAGGUUGGGUAACACUAACUGGAGGACCGAACCGACUAAUGUUGAAAAAUUAGCGGAUGACUUGUGGCUGGGGGUGAAAGGCCAAUCAAACCGGGAGAUAGCUGGUUCUCCCCGAAAGCUAUUUAGGUAGCGCCUCGUGAAUUCAUCUUCGGGGUAGAGCACUGUUUCGGCUAGGGGGUCAUCCCGACUUACCAACCCGAUGCAAACUACGAAUACCGAAGAAUGUUAUCACGGGAGACACACGGCGGGUGCUAACGUCCGUCGUGAAGAGGGAAACAACCCAGACCGCCAGCUAAGGUCCCAAAGUCAUGGUUAAGUGGGAAACGAUGUGGGAAGGCACAGACAGCCAGGAUGUUGGCUUAGAAGCAGCCAUCAUUUAAAGAAAGCGUAAUAGCUCACUGGUCGAGUCGGCCUGCGCGGAAGAUGUAACGGGGCUAAACCAUGCACCGAAGCUGCGGCAGCGACACUAUGUGUUGUUGGGUAGGGGAGCGUUCUGUAAGCCUGCGAAGGUGACCUGUGAGGGUUGCUGGAGGUAUCAGAAGUGCGAAUGCUGACAUAAGUAACGAUAAAGCGGGUGAAAAGCCCGCUCGCCGGAAGACCAAGGGUUCCUGUCCAACGUUAAUCGGGGCAGGGUGAGUCGACCCCUAAGGCGAGGCCGAAAGGCGUAGUCGAUGGGAAACAGGUUAAUAUUCCUGUACUUGGUGUUACUGCGAAGGGGGGACGGAGAAGGCUAUGUUAGCCGGGCGACGGUUGUCCCGGUUUAAGCAUGUAGGCUGGUUGUCCAGGCAAAUCCGGAUAAUCAAGGCUGAGGUGUGAUGACGAGGCACUACGGUGCUGAAGUAACAAAUGCCCUGCUUCCAGGAAAAGCCUCUAAGCAUCAGGUAACAUUAAAUCGUACCCCAAACCGACACAGGUGGUCAGGUAGAGAAUACCAAGGCGCUUGAGAGAACUCGGGUGAAGGAACUAGGCAAAAUGGUGCCGUAACUUCGGGAGAAGGCACGCUGGUGUGUAGGUGAAGUCCCUGCGGAUGGAGCUGAGACCAGUCGAAGAUACCAGCUGGCUGCAACUGUUUAUUAAAAACACAGCACUGUGCAAACACGAAAGUGGACGUAUACGGUGUGACGCCUGCCCGGUGCCGGAAGGUUAAUUGAUGGGGUUAUCCGUAAGGAGAAGCUCUUGAUCGAAGCCCCGGUAAACGGCGGCCGUAACUAUAACGGUCCUAAGGUAGCGAAAUUCCUUGUCGGGUAAGUUCCGACCUGCACGAAUGGCGUAAUGAUGGCCAGGCUGUCUCCACCCGAGACUCAGUGAAAUUGAACUCGCUGUGAAGAUGCAGUGUACCCGCGGCAAGACGGAAAGACCCCGUGAACCUUUACUAUAGCUUGACACUGAACAUUGAGCCUUGAUGUGUAGGAUAGGUGGGAGGCUUUGAAGCGUGGACGCCAGUCUGCGUGGAGCCAACCUUGAAAUACCACCCUUUAAUGUUUGAUGUUCUAACGUUGGCCCCUUAUCGGGGUUGCGGACAGUGUCUGGUGGGUAGUUUGACUGGGGCGGUCUCCUCCCAAAGCGUAACGGAGGAGCACGAAGGUUAGCUAAUCCUGGUCGGACAUCAGGAGGUUAGUGCAAUGGCAUAAGCUAGCUUGACUGCGAGCGUGACGGCGCGAGCAGGUGCGAAAGCAGGUCAUAGUGAUCCGGUGGUUCUGAAUGGAAGGGCCAUCGCUCAACGGAUAAAAGGUACUCCGGGGAUAACAGGCUGAUACCGCCCAAGAGUUCAUAUCGACGGCGGUGUUUGGCACCUCGAUGUCGGCUCAUCACAUCCUGGGGCUGAAGUAGGUCCCAAGGGUAUGGCUGUUCGCCAUUUAAAGUGGUACGCGAGCUGGGUUUAGAACGUCGUGAGACAGUUCGGUCCCUAUCUGCCGUGGGCGCUGGAGAAUUGAGGGGGGCUGCUCCUAGUACGAGAGGACCGGAGUGGACGCAUCACUGGUGUUCGGGUUGUCAUGCCAAUGGCACUGCCCGGUAGCUAAAUGCGGAAGAGAUAAGUGCUGAAAGCAUCUAAGCACGAAACUUGCCCCGAGAUGAGUUCUCCCUGAGACUUUAAGUCUCCUGAAGGAACGUUGAAGACGACGACGUUGAUAGGCCGGGUGUGUAAGCGCAGCGAUGCGUUGAGCUAACCGGUACUAAUGAACCGUGAGGCUUAACCUUACAACGCCGAAG